AGAGUUUGAUCCUGGCUCAGGAUUAACGUUGGUAGCACACUUAACACAUGCAAGUCGAGCGGAAAGUAGUAGCAAUACUGCUUUUAGCGGCGAACGGGUGAGUAAUGCUUAUCUUACCUGCCAUUUAGUGGGGGAUAACCAAAGGAAACUUUGGCUAAUACCGCAUGUUCUAGUUUCGGCUAGCAAAGGAUUUUAAUUCG
rnacentral:rRNA from 1 species